AUUGAACGCUGGCGGCGUGCUUAACACAUGCAAGUCGAUCGGUAACGCGGGGGCAACCCUGGCGACGAGAGGCGGACGGGUGAGGAACGCUUGGGAAUCUGCCUAUCAGCGGGGGACAACCCGGGGAAACUCGGGCUAAUACCGCAUACGCUCUACGGAGGAAAGCCGGGGACCGCAAGGCCUGGCACCGAUAGAUGAGCCCAAGUCGGAUUAGCUAGUUGGCGGGGUAACGGCCCACCAAGGCGACGAUCCGUAGCUGGUCUGAGAGGACGAUCAGCCACACUGAGACUGAGACACGGCCCAGACUCCUACGGGAGGCAGCAGUGGGGAAUAUUGGACAAUGGGGGAAACCCUGAUCCAGCGACGCCGCGUGGGUGAAGAAGGCCUGCGGGUUGUAAAGCCCUUUCGGUAGGGACGAAAGCUCUCGACCUAACACGUCGGGAGGUUGACUUAACCUACAAAAGAAGCACCGGCUAACUCUGUGCCAGCCGCCGCCGUAAUAC
rnacentral:rRNA from 1 species